AAGACAUCUUUGCGAAGAGAAUGUAUUUAUUUAAAUACAUUAUCAAUUGUAUUAUUUAUUUAACUAAUACAAUUGAUAAUGUAUUUAACUAAUACAUUAUCAAUUGUAUUAGUUAAAUAAAUAAUAGCUUCUAACAGUUGCGAGAAAUCAACCUUUUGAUGACACUUGUGCUUCUUAAACAUCCCUCUAUCCUUUAAUAGCUGUCACAAAUGUGAUGAUGUUUCCAUCAUGGCAAAAGUUCUACAAAAUGUGGAGAAAAAAUUUAUUGGAUGACUCUGAAUACGGGUAGAACUGGCAGAUGUAUCCAUUAGGGCUUCAAUGGAAGGGAAGUCAUCUAAAUUUUGGUCCUUGCAGCUCUAUCUUUGAUUGUGACUU
rnacentral:lncRNA from 1 species